CAACACAGGCAACCCUAUGGUUGCAGUGAUAGGUGUUCUCUCCACACCUCCUUGGGGAAAGGUUUGUGAGGUGGUGGAGAAGCCAAUUAACUGGACAGGCCGCAGCUGAGGGGAAUUGGCUGGCCUGAGGAGUCCCUGAUUAAUGAGAGAAACAGGCAGGGGUAGGGGAAAGUACAAUGAGGUGGCAGUGAGGGUGCCUGACACCAUACUCUAGACUGGAGAGAGGGAAAGGAAGGAAGGAAGGAAGGAAGCUAGUUGGAGAACAUGUACAGAAAGGCUCAGGGGCAUGGCUUAAAAAUGUUGCAGGCCGUGGCUACCUAGCAGAGGGCCUUGGAGCUGGAACCGGAGGCCAGUAGAGACCUGAGCUCUCCUCACGACCACAGGGGACGAGGCAGAGUUUGGGCUGUGAAGGGAAGGGAGCCUUCUUGGAGGAGGAAAACCCACGGUGACCGGAAGGACCAAGCCAGGCAGAGAGCCCCCUGAGCGAGACAGAGCGGCCGUGCGUGCGAAGGAGCAGCAGAAGGCGUGUUGGGCCUGGAAGGUGCUAACCCCAGUGGUCUCUUGACACGUGCAUUUGAAAUGGGUUGCUUUUAUGGCGAACACAAUGCCCAAGUGGAAAACAGCAAACAGCGCGUGAGAAUUCAGGGCCUUAUUCACAAUCAGGAAGAAGAUUUGGGAGCAUCUACAAAGUUCUGGUAUCCAAAAGCUGAGGUGUCCCAAGUGACUGACAGCAUCAGAGAAGACCGGGAGAAAUUAUUUCCACUUCUGCUGGCUUAUCUCCAGUGCCAUGAUGCCUACAAAACAUGACCGGCGAGGCAGAAGGCCAGUUGUGAGUCAUGACUAUGCUCCGUGGUCAACGAUACGCAUAUUUCACUGAUGUCACCACCUUCUCCUCCUUUGCCUUCGCUGCUAGGGUGUGUCGUCCACUUCUUUGUAGCCUAGGCCAGCUGCACAAAGCUGCGGGGGCUUCACCACAAGAACUGUCUUUUUGGUAUGUGCUGUACAAACAAAUCCAUAUCACAGUGAGGCUCUGAUCCCCGAAUGGGACCCAUAGGUUCUGCCUUAACACAAGCAAUGUGCUGGGAAAGUAGAUAAUCCACUCCAAAUCCCUUCCCCUGAUAACUGAUUCAUUUCCCUGGGUACAGGUUUGUCCUUCCGAAUCUGAGGCCAGGUCUACACUGGCAGAGAAUAUACGCAGUUCCAGCUACGUGAAUUGCAUAGCUGAAGUCGACAUACCUUGAGCAAUUUUCUGGGGCAGCCCCUCAGCAGGAGGUCUAUGGGAGCAAUGCUCCUAUCAACUUCCGUUACUCCUCUCAAGGAGUAGGAGUACCGGUGACAAGGGGGGCACACUCAGCAUUCAAUUUAGCAGGUCUUUACUAGACCUACUAAAUCAAAUCCUGAAAGAUCGAUCGCCAGAGAGUCGAUCUUCCAGGAAGUGAAGAUGUGGCCUGAGUCUGGAGGGCCAGGAGAAUAGCAGAGCUUGAAACAAGGAUUAAACCAAAAAGGCUUCCAAUAUGAGGAGGAAGUUAAAAGUUGAGGCUGGAUUGGCACUUGAGACAUCAACUGCCAUUUGAGCUAAAAGAUAAAUAGAGCAAGGGCUGAGAGCGUUAAAUUCCUGCCUAGACACCUGGAAUCAACUUGCAAAGCAAAUACAUGAUCAAACAAACUGGAUGGAUAUUUUGAAGCAGAGGAAAACUAUAAUACAUACCCUGUUUUUGAAUUGCGUACGGUCAUAAUUAGCUAUGCCGCGCUCAAGGCGGUCUCCUCAGCUGGAUACCAAGAAGCUAAGGUCAGGGGAUCCAAGGAUCAAGAGGUGAAAUGUCUCGGACACAAAAGGAGAUGGGAGAUGUUUAAGCUGUUUUUAUUGUUUUCCCACAAUGGUGAAGAAGUCAUUAGCUUCCAGAGGUUCGGUUUUCCUUCUAGUCAUACCGACAUCAGUGCAUGGAUAAUGGAUAGGAGCAGUGAGGGGGCGUUCAAAGGGUAAAUUCCACUGGCUAUAAUAUAUUUUCAUUGGCUGAAUAAGAUGCAUGAUCGGCAGGUCUCAAAGAUGAUUUGGAGAGGAUAUCUCUAUGCAGAAAAAACCCGGUAAACAAGAAAAUAUUGUUUUGCAUUAUUUGUUUUUGUUUUUCCCUUUGUUUGGCUGCCAGCAAACGAGAUACUGACCCCCCACUAAAACCAUUGUUAUAGCUAAUGGAAAAUCAUGGAAAUUCACAGAAACCCAAGUCCUAGUUAUUUGAACUUGCGAGGAAUUUUUCAGGAAAACACCUUUUCUUAUUGUUUGAAAAUGCCAAUUUGUCAGUACAAAACCUUUUCACAGGAAAAGGUCAGCCUGAAAAUGUUUUGAAAUUGUCACAUUUCAUUUAAAAAGUUUCUACUUUCAAAAGCACCGUUGGAAAUUUAAACUAAUAAUAGUAAUAAUUAAUAAUAAUAAUAAUAAUGAAAAAAUCAAAACAAAAUGUUUUAACUGACCCAAAAUUGUUCUGGUAUUUUGGAUUGUGAAUAUUUUUCCUGGCUAAGGAUGGGAGGUUUUUGUU